rnacentral:rRNA from 1 species
UACGUAGGAGGCGAGCGUUGUCCGGAAUUACUGGGCGUAAAGCGUGCGCAGGCGGCUUUGCAAGACAGAUGUGAAAUCCCCGGGCUCAACCUGGGAACUGCAUUUGUGACUGCAUGGCUAGAGUAAGGUAGAGGGGGAUGGAAUUCCGCGUGUAGCAGUGAAAUGCGUAGAUAUGCGGAGGAACACCGAUGGCGAAGGCAAUCCCCUGGACCUGUACUGACGCUCAUGCACGAAAGCGUGGGGAGCUAACAGG